rnacentral:misc_RNA from 1 species
GUAGGUGAACCUGCGGAAGGAUCAUUAACACGUAUCCAACGUCAAACAACCCUGUCGCUCUUGUAGCCAGGCGGAACAGCAAUCCCGGUAAAUCAACGACGCCGGAAAGAGUUUUGAUUCGGGACCUCUGUCCAAAAGGUUACAAUAGAAGCUAGGAGCAGUGGCAUGGUUUCCUGAAGCAGUGCCGAAGGAUGCACUGAGUACGGAUAACGCAUCACGGUUGCUAGAGGUCGAUCACCGGCCGGCAGACAUGUCACAGGGCUAUAUGCCCCUUAAUCACCCCUUGCCUAAUCACGCCCCGCGGAAACGCCGGGCACUAAAAACCGAACAACUGUUAACAAUGGAUAUCUUGGUUCUC